rfam:Candidatus Thrbacteria bacterium RIFCSPLOWO2_02_FTLL_53_10 rifcsplowo2_02_scaffold_23296, whole genome shotgun sequence.
GGGCCGAUGGUGGAAUGGUAUACACGCGACACUUAAAAUGUCGUCCGGAAAUCCGGAUGAGGGUUCGACCCCCUCUCGGCCCA